UCCUACGGGAGGCAGCAGCCGCGGUAAUAUUGCACAAUGGGCGCAAGCCUGAUGCAGCCAUGCCGCGUGUAUGAAGAAGGCCUUCGGGUUGUAAAGUACUUUCAGCGGGGAGGAAGGUGCUGAGGUUAAUAACCUCAGCAAUUGACGUUACCCGCAGAAGAAGCACCGGCUAACUACGUGCCAGCAGCCGCGGUAAUAAUCACU
rnacentral:rRNA from 1 species